rnacentral:lncRNA from 1 species
CGUCAUCAGCACCCAGAUAUUGCUGGAGGCAAAGGAUGCCAAGAUGGGAAAGCCACAUAAUGGAAGGAUCCUGGAUUUCAGAGCUGUCACUUGGAGGAGGGGCACCCAGUGAAGGUGUCUUAUCUAACCCACACCAUAUCUUCAUGAAGUGGCCAUAUGGAUUUGAUCCCUAUCCUUCAGAGGUGCUCAGCCUAAGGGAACACGGAUAGUAGAUUAAGCACUGACCAGAGCCAGCCUUGACAAUGUGCUGAUGGCAACCUAGAACAUAAGCAGAGGAGUAUACAGGACAAGAACUUGAUGGUCUCGGGAAAAUGGACAACAUGACUCAGGUGAAAAAGAUUGAUCAUCAGAUGUUUCUUAUGUAUCAACCUGAUAUUUAAAUCCAUGAAGGACAGAGACGACAAAGGCAGGUGGAAUAGAUAGAGAAGAGAUUCAAGGUCUGAGCUCUACAUUACUCAAACUGUUAGAGAUUAGGAAGAAGAGGAAGACCUGGCAAAAGAAUGUCCUGGGAUGUAGAAAGAAAACCAGAAGCUUGUGUUCUCUGGAAACCAAAUGAAGAAAGGGCUUCCAGAAGGACAGACAAAGUGUAGUGUGUCAAAGGCUCCUGAGCAAUCAGAGGAGAGCACAAAGGGGCUCACAGGACUUUGGUAUCUGGAUCACCCAGUGACACUUCCUGAUCACGAGAAACUGUCAGACCAACAGGGGCACUUUCUGAAACCAGCAGUUCUUCAGUGCCCAAAUGCAACCUUGAUGGUUUGAUUUUGGAGGAUGGCAAUUCAUUAACAGCACUCCCCAGUGAUAAAUAUGAAAACCAAUAAAACCCCCCACCCAAGGCAAUCUCUCCCAGCUCCUCGCUUUGAGUAAAGAGAAACCAGGAGAAGGCAGUCCUAGGGCAGUCUCCGGGCCAGCUUUCCCUAAUAAGAAGGCAGAGCUCCUCUUCACCCAGACUUCAGACCUAUAGAGGCAGCCUGGGGUCCCGGGAUGCCCUUGCACUCAGAGAUGUCCCCAGAGUCCUAGGGAAAUGGAGGAUAACUAGGAGGAAGCUGUUCAUGGCUGGCGAUGAGGUCUAUACCUUCUUGUCCGUCUCAGUGCUGUCUGCUAUUGAAUUUUUGUGCAGAUCACAUUAACUUAAAGCCAGUUCUCAAGAAGCUCCCCCUGCCGCCGGCAUAUCCACCAGUUGCUCCCCUUUCCUGCCAUUAAUCAGGGUCUGCUAGUUAGAGAACAAAUUCCUAUUUGUCCAAACAGUUGCCAACACCCCCACCCCAAGGUAGUUAAAUGAGGAUGAAUGGGUCAUUCUUAUUAAAAAAUGACUUAAAUUUCUCAAAUUCUAUUUAUGUUUCUUUUACAUCCCAAUUUUCUAUAGAUUUAGUGACUCCAAAUGAUAAGGUCUCAAGCUCAUAAUAAUUUAUCCCUUGGGUAACACACAAGGCUUGGUGGUAUUUCAGUAAUAUUCAUGACAACAGCAGCUGUCGUGCUAAUAAGGACUGAUGUCACCAGAGCACUUUCUAUGUGCCAAGCAUGGUGCACAACACUUUACAUACAUUAUGUCAUUUAAUUUUCACAAAACCUCACAGAGGUAAAUAUUAUUAUCUUCCUCUGCAUAUAAGGAAAUGAAUGUUCGGAAAGAUUAAGUCAACUCACUGAGGUCCCAUCAGUGCUCUUUCAUAUGCCUCUGUUGCAGUCUCAUUGAACUGCUGAAAUCAGAAAAACCUGGAGACCUUGUUAACCUUCAGAUUCCUGGGCCCCAUCUUAGAUGCAGGGAGUCAGACUUCCUGGGAGUGUGGCCCUGGAAUUUUCAUUUGUAAACACAUUCCCCAAGAGACCUGUAUGCACACUAAAGUGGGAGAAUUCACGAUCUCUGGCUUUUGUGAUGUUUUAAACGCACUAUAUAAUUUCAGUAGCAAAAGAAUUGGGCUUUGGGAAGGGAGUGUGUGGUGAACCCUGAAAGCUGAAUGGACUUCCUUCCUGUGGAGGAGCAGUGGGAGAAACUGGAGGCAGAGAGCUGUGUUUCAUUCCUUGAUUGAGCCUUUGUGAGUUAUUUAAUCUCUUUCAGUCUCUAUUUUUUUCAUUUGUAAACCAGGAAGGAUACUUGUAUUUUCCAGGUGGUUGUGAGGUGUGAAAGAGAUGAGAGUAGAACAAAAUUUUAAAAGUUGAAAGCACUCAACAAAUGUAUUUGGUAUUAAUCAUGGGUUUCCCUGGGGCCGAGGAAGCCACCAGCCACCGCAGGCCUGUACACAAUGCCAGCCACCAUGUAUGGAUACGGAGGAGGCAAAAGGACUAGCGAACACUCCCAGGGACUGGAUGUCUUGAAUAUCUGUCCAACUUUCUUGGGAGGGGCCAUUUCUUCUGUAACUCAAAGGAAUUUAUUAUUUUUCAGCCAGGGAGGCAUGCUUUCUAUCUACUGCUAGUACUCCCAGACCAAGCUGUUUCAGUGGGACUGAGGUGUGACUUCUGCCUCGGUUUCAUCCAUCUGUGCAGGGAAGAGAAAAAUGCCUGCACCUCCACGGUCACACCCUCUGUUGGAACCACCUCCUUAAGCCAGAAUUAUUGAAUGUUCUCUAUGUGCCAGAAUUAUUAUUAUCUCAUUUGAUUCUCACAACAAUGCCAUGAAGUCUAUACAGACAUACCUUGGAAAUACAGCGGGUUUGGUUCCAGACCACCGCAAUAAAGCUAAUACCGCAAUAAAAUGGGUCACACGAAUUUUUUGGAUUAGGCUUCGGCUUAAGGGAAUGUUGUGGCUGGUUUGAUGUUUUAUCCAGACCGCUAACACUUUCUCCCUAUCAGCAAUGAGGCUGUUUUGCUUUCUUAUCAUUCCUGUGUUCACUGGAGUAGCACUUUUAAUUUCCUUCAAGAACUUUUCCUUUGCAUUCAUAACUUGGCUAACUGUUUGGCACAAGAGGCCUGCCUAGCUUUUGGCCUAUCUAAGCUUUUGACUUGCCUUCCUCACUGAGCUUAAUCAUCUCUAGCCUUGGAUUUAACGUGGAAAAUGUGUGACCCUUCCUUUCACUUGAACACUUGGAAGCUAUUGUAGGGUUAUUAACUGGCCUAAUUCAAUAUUAUUGUGUCUCAGGGAACAGGGAGGCCCAGAGAGAGAGAGACGGGAAAACAGAAAGUCAGUGGGGCAGGCAGAACACACACGUUUAUUUAUUAAGUUUGCUGUCAUAUGUUGGUGCAGUUCAUGCUGCCCCAAAACAAUUACAAUAACAAGAUCAAAGAUUCCUGGUCAUAGAUUGCCAUAACAGAUACAGUAAUCACGAAAAAGUUUGAGAUAUUGUGAGAAUUACGCAGAUAUUGUGAGAAAUAUGACCCAGAGACAAGAAGCGAGCACAUGCCGUUAGAAAAAUGGCACCAACAGACUUGCUUGCUGCAGGGUUACACAUACCUUCAAUUUGUAAAAAAAAAAAACUGUAAUAUCUGCAAAACGCAAUAAAGAAAAGUGUAAUAAAAUGCAGUCUGCCUGAACUUCAAUUAUUCCCAUUUUAUAGAAGAGGAAAUAGAUGCAGGGAGUUUGAUCUGCCUGAACUAGUAAAUGGUAGAACUCUGGGACUAACAUUCCUAUCCUCUAUGCUACAUUCCUAGGAAAGAACGCUCAGACAGGGUUGGACUGAGAGUGUGUUAAGCUUUGCACUGUUUUGAGCCCUCUGAAGGAGUGUCCGUAUUUGAAAGCUGGCCUCCUUCCUUUCACUGGCCCUCCACAGUGUGGCCUAAGUUAUUCAAUUAGGAAGGGAAAUAAUUGGCAGUGGAGAAUGCCUCUAGCAGUGGUAAUUACCUCCAGUGCCUUGUAGGAAUAGUCAAGCUACAUUUCAGUUUAUGCUGUAAAACCUUAAUUAUAAUAUAAACAGCUGCCCUUCAGCCCAGUGGGGCAGCCUUCCCCCGCCUUCCUUCUCUGGCCUCUGAAUGGCCCUGCCUCCUGAAUGGUCAGGGAGGUCCAGGGACGGAAGGAGACCUGGGAGGAGGGGAGCCGAUGACUAUGCGUGCGUUGGGGUUUGGAAGACUAAGCUGGAGGGAGCCACUGCCAGGGUCCCAUCUUCAAGUGAUGAAGCCAAAGGCAGCAUCCCCAUUCUUGGUACCACUCACACUGAGUCUCUUGGGGGAGCAGCCUCCAGCCAUUAGCAGUCAGCCCAGUGCCAUUAGGCUAGGAUAGGGUUUAGCAGGCUAUGGUAUCAUUUCAGGGUAACAUCUCUUUCUAUUUACUCCCCUAUAAGGGAGAACAGAGUCUUCCCUUCUAGAUCCAGACUUCCUGGCCAUGUAGGAGCCCUGUUGAGUGCCUGGUGCACUCUAGGUAGUAUGCGAGGCAUGGUUGCAAGGGUUCCCCAUUUCAACUUCACAGCACUUGGAUACACAGAAAAUUAACAUCCUCAUUUGACUAUUGAGGAAAAUGAGACUUUGAAAGUUUAAACGGAGAUAAGGCUUGGGAGGCAGACAGCCCUGUAAGUGACUUAAGUUCAGGAAGGAGAAGGACACUCAAUAUUUUUGUUCAGAGCACUGGGAAGGAGAGAGAGGGAUCAGUCACCAUCGGGCAUUUGAGAAGGUCCAGGAACAGGGGGCUGGUGAGCAGAGGGGGGAAUAACACCAGAGGGGCUGAAAUUGCUGAUUGCUGGGUUCACAGAUCUACCCACGAGCGGCCCAGGUACCCCAUGAGCGGCUGCUCUGUGUCAUCUGACCACUGGAUUGUAACCUGGGCUGAAAGAAUCAGAAGUCAGUGUGGCGAGGCAGGAGUCCUCAGAUGGUCAGAGCUGACUCUUCAACUCUUAAGGGCAAAAUGGAAAAUGUGAGCUUGUUGGUGGUCUUCGAAACACAGUAAGCAAUCCAUGCCCCUGAAGAGCAGGGAUAAUUAUAGGCAUGCCCUUGUUUUAUUGUGCUUUGCAGAUAUUGCAUGUUUUUACAAAUUGAAGAUUUAUGGCAACUCUGCAUACAGCAAAUCUAUUGAUGCCAUCUUUUUCCAAUAUCACAUGCUCACUCUGUGUCUCUGUCUCACAUUUUGGUAGUUCUCCCAAUAUUUCACACCUUAUUAUUAUUAUUAUAUCUGUUAUGAUGAUCUGUGGUCAGGGAUCUUUGAGGUUACUAUUGUAGUUGUUUUGAGGUGCCAUGAACUGCACCCAUGUAAGACAGCGAACAUAAUCAAUAAAUGUUGUGUGUUCUGACUGCUCCACCAACCGACUGUUUCCCUGUCUCUUUCUCUCUCCUCUGGCUCCCUAUUCCCUGAGGCACAAUCAUAUUGAAAUUAGGCCAAAUAAUAACCCUACAAUGGCUUCUAAAGGUUCAAGUAAAAGGAAGAGUCACAUCUCUUACUCUAAAUCAAAAGCUAGAAAUGAUUAAGCUUAGUGAGGAAGGCAUGUGGAAAGCUGAGA